rnacentral:rRNA from 1 species
GACGAACGCUGGCGGCGUGCUUAACACAUGCAAGUCGAACGGAAAGGCCCUGCUUGCAGGGUACUCGAGUGGCGAACGGGUGAGUAACACGUGGGUGAUCUGCCCUGCACUUCGGGAUAAGCCUGGGAAACUGGGUCUAAUACCGGAUAGGAGCCAUUUUUAGUGUGAUGGUUGGAAAGUUUUUUCGGUGUAGGAUGAGCUCGCGGCCUAUCAGCUUGUUGGUGGGGUAAUGGCCUACCAAGGCGGCGACGGGUAGCCGGCCUGAGAGGGUGGACGGCCAUUGUGGGAGUGAAAUACGCCCCAGCCCCCGCGGGGGGGAAGCGGGGGGGAAUAUUGCAAAAGGGGGGCAGGCUUGAUGCAGCGCCGCCGGGGGGGGGAUGCCGGCCUGGGGGUUGUAACCUCCUUUCGCUGGGGACAAGUCUUUUUGGGAGGGUCCUUAAAAAAGAACCCCGGCCAACCAACGGC